UCCCUGAUAGCUCAGUUGGAAAAGAAUCUGCCUGCAAUGCAGGAGACCCUGGUUUGAUUCCUGGCUCGGGAA
rnacentral:tRNA from 1 species